AAGCUCGUAGUUGAAUUUCGGGAUCAAAUUGUCGGUCGUGCCUCGGUACGUACUGGCGUUAUUGGUUCCUCCCUUCUGAAGAACCACGAUGUCAUUAAUUUGGUGUCGCGGGGAAUCAGGACUGUUACUUUGAAAAAAUUAGAGUGUUUAAAGCAGGCUCGCGCUUGAAUACAUUAGCAUGGAAUAAUGAAAUAGGACGUUUGAUUCUAUUUUGUUGGUUUCUAGGAUCGACGUAAUGAUUAAUAGGGAUAGUUGGGGGCAUUAGUAUUCAAUUGUCAGAGGUGAAAUUCUUGGAUUUAUUGAAGACUAACUACUGCGAAAGCAUUUGCCAAGGAUGUUUUCAUUAAUCAAGAACGAAAGUUAGGGGAUCGAAGACGAUCAGAUACCGUCGUAGUCUUAACCAUAAACUAUGCCGACUAGGGAUCGGAUGAUGUUAAUUUUUUAAUGACUCAUUCGGCGCCUUACGGGAAACCAAAGUGUUUGGGUUCCGGGGGGAGUAUGGUCGCAAGGCUGAAACUUAAAGGAAUUGACGGAAGGGCACCACCAGGGGUGGAGCCUGCGGCUUAAUUUGACUCAACACGGGGAAA
rnacentral:rRNA from 1 species